GCGCCCUUAGCUCAGUUGGUAGAGCAACUGACUCUUAAUCAGUGGGUCGAAGGUUCAAAUCCUUCAGGGCGCA
rnacentral:tRNA from 4 species